rnacentral:rRNA from 1 species
GCUAAACAAGGGUCAGUAGCGGCUGGAAUACGUAGGGGGAUAGGUGUAUCCUGAGUGAUUGGGGGGAAAGCGGCUGCAGGGGGGUGGUACAGUCUGGCGUGAAAGCGCUCGGCUUAACUGGGCGGGGUCGUUGGAAACUGGAGAGCUUGAGGCAAGGAGAUGGGCGUGGAAUUCCCGGUGUAGGUGUGGAAUGCGUAGAUAUCGGGAGGAACAUCAGUGGCGCAAGCGGCGCCCUGGCCUUAGCCUGACGCUCAGGGGCGAAAGCGUGGGGAGCGAACGGGAUUAGAUACCCCAGUAGUC